rnacentral:rRNA from 1 species
GUGAGGAAUAUUCCACAAUGGGGGAAACCCUGAUGGAGCGAUGCCGCGUGCAGGAAGACGCUUUUCGGAGUGUAAACUGCUUUUAAUAGGGAAGAUUAUGACGGUACCUAUAGAAAAAGGACCGGCUAACUACGUGCCAGCAGCCGCGGUAAUACGUAGGGUCCAAGCGUUAUUCGGAAUUACUGGGCGUAAAGCGUACGUAGGCGGUUUGGUAAGUUGGAUGUGAAAUCCCCCUGCUCAACGGGGUGGACUGUGUCCAAAACUACCUAACUAGAGCAUAGUAGAGGCAAGUGGAAUUUGCGGUGUAGGAGUGACAUCCGUAGAUAUCGCAAGGAACACCAAUGGCGAAGGCAGCUUGCUGGGCUAUUGCUGACGCUCAGGUACGAAAGCGUGGGGAGCGAACGGGAUUAGAAACCCCGGUAGUCC